AGAGUUUGAUCCUGGCUCAGGAUGAACGCUGGCGGCGUGCUUAAUACAUGCAAGUCGAACGAGGAGCUUUUGUCUUCGGAUGAGGGUUUCCUAGUGGCGAACGGGUGAGUAACGCGUUGGUGACCUGCCCCAAAGAAAGGGAUAACAGUUCGAAAGAAUUGCUAAUACCUUAUGUUAUCAGUUGGAUUAGAUGCCUUCUGAUUAAAGGAGUAAUCCGCUUUGGGAGGGACCUGCGUCCCAUCAGCUAGUUGGUAGGGUAAUAGCCUACCAAGGCAAUGACGGGUAGGGGACCUGAGAGGGUGACCCCCCACAAUGGCACUGAAACACGGGCCAUACACCUACGGGUGGCAGCAGUAGGGAAUAUUGGACAAUGGGCGGAAGCCUGAUCCAGCAACGCCGCGUGCACGAUGACGGCCUUCGGGUUGUAAAGUGCUUUUAGAGGAGAUGAGAAAGGACAGUAUCCUCUGAAUAAGCCUCGGCGAACUACGUGCCAGCAGCCGCGGUAAAACGUAGGAGGCAAGCGUUAUCCGGAUUUAUUGGGCGUAAAGCGCGUGCAGGCGGUUUGACAAGUUGGAUGUGAAAGCUCCUGGCUUAACUGGGAGAGGUCGUUCAAUACUGUCAGACUAGAGAAUGGGAGAGGGAGGUGGAAUUCCGGGUGUAGUGGUGAAAUGCGUAGAUAUCCGGAGGAACACCAGUGGCGAAAGCGGCCUCCUAGACCAUUUCUGACGCUAAGACGCGAAAGCUAGGGUAGCAAACGGGAUUAGAUACCCCGGUAGUCCACGCCGUAAACAAUGUGCACUAGGUCGAGGGCGUUCUGACGCGACUCUCGGCCGAAGCGAAAGUGUUAAGUGCACCGCCUGGGGAUUACGGUCGCAAGGCCAAAACUCAAAGGAAUUGACGGGGGCUCACACAAGCGGUGGAGCAUGUGGCUUAAUUCGAAGCAACGCGAAGAACCUUAUCCUAGGUUUGACAUACACGGAUUAGCUAUAAGAAACUAUAGUGACACCUUCGGGUGGAACGUGAACAGGUGCUGCAUGGCUGUCGUCAGCUCGUGCUGUGAAGUGUCGGGUUAAGUCCCUUAACGAGCGCAACCCUUAUCGUUAGUUGCUAACAGGUAAUGCUGAGGACUCUAGCGAGACUGCCGGUGUUAAACCGGAGGAAGGUGGGGAUGACGUCAAGUCCGCAUGGCCUUUAUGCCUAGGGCUGCACACGUGCUACAAUGGCAAGUACAAAACGAAGCAAUACCGCAAGGUGGAGCAAAUCGCAAAAACUUGCCCCAGUUCGGAUUGCAGGCUGCAACUCGCCUGCAUGAAGUUGGAAUCGCUAGUAAUCGUGGAUCAGCAUGCCACGGUGAAUACGUUCCUGAGCCUUGUACACACCGCCCGUCAAGUCAUGGAAGCUGGUAGUGCCUUAAGUCGCCGAGAUUCAUCGGUGCCCACGGCAAGACUGGUGACUGGGACUAAGUCGUAACAAGGUAACCGU
rnacentral:rRNA from 1 species